rnacentral:lncRNA from 1 species
UUUUUCUUCCAAGCAAGCAUUCAUUUUCAUUUUUUCUAUUUUUGUUCUUUUCUUUCACAUCAUAUUUACAAAACAGAUGUUUCUUUUCUAUAUUUUUAUUUUCAAUGCUUGCUCGGUUUUUCAUUUUUUUUUACAAGAGUUGUGGUACUUACCGAUUCUCCCCAACUUAUUUCUUACUCACCCUAAGUGAAUGCUCUUAACUUUUUACGGCAAAAGAACAAUAAUCAAGAUUU